ensembl:snRNA U6 U6 spliceosomal RNA
AUGAUAUAAGUAGCACCUAUACUAAAAUUGGAAAGAUUAAAGGAAGAGUAGCAUGAUACCUGGUACAAGGAUGAUGCACAAAUUUGUGAAGUGAUACACAUUUUU